rnacentral:rRNA from 1 species
UACGAGGGGGGCAAAUGUUGUUCGGAAUUACUGGGCGUAAAGGGAGCGUAGGCGGGUUUCUAAGUCAGGUGUUUAAUCCCGGGGCCCAACCCCGGACAGGCACUUGAAACUGGAAAUCUUGAAUAGUGGAGAGGUCAGUGGAAUUGGGGGUGUAGCGGUGGAAUGCGUAGAGAUCCCCAAGAACACCAGUUGCGAAGGCGGCUGACUGGACACAUAUUGACGCUGAGGCUCGAAAGCAUGGGGAGCAAACAGG